rnacentral:rRNA from 1 species
AGUGAACGCUGGCGGUAGGCCUAACACAUGCAAGUCGAACGGCAGCACAGUAAGAGCUUGCUCUUACGGGUGGCGAGUGGCGGACGGGUGAGGAAUACAUCGGAAUCUACUUUUUUGUGGGGGAUAACGUAGGGAAACUUACGCUAAUACCGCAUACGACCUACGGGUGAAAGCAGGGGAUCUUCGGACCUUGCGCGAUUGAAUGAGCCGAUGUCGGAUUAGCUAGUUGGCGGGGUAAAGGCCCACCAAGGCGACGAUCCGUAGCUGGUCUGAGAGGAUGAUCAGCCACACUGGAACUGAGACACGGUCCAGACUCCUACGGGAGGCAACAGUGGGGAAUAUUGGACAAUGGGCGCAAGCCUGAUCCAGCCAUACCGCGUGGGUGAAGAAGGCCUUCGGGUUGUAAAGCCCUUUUGUUGGGAAAGAAAAGCAGCAGGUUAAUACCCCGCUGUUCUGACGGUACCCAAAGAAUAAGCACCGGCUAACUUCGUG